rnacentral:rRNA from 1 species
GAUGAACGCUAGCGGGAGGCUUAACACAUGCAAGUCGAGGGGCAGCAUAGGGUAGCAAUACUCUGAUGGCGACCGGCAAACGGGUGAGUAACGCGUAUGCAACCUACCCUGUACAGGGGGAUAACCCGGAGAAAUUCGGACUAGUAUCCCGUAAUAAUAUCCGGAGGCAUCUUUGGAUAUUUAAAGUUCCGACGGUACGGGAUGGGCAUGCGUAACAUUAGCUGGUUGGUAAGGUAACGGCUUACCAAGGCUAUGAUGUUUAGGGGUCCUGAGAGGGUGGUCCCCCACACUGGUACUGAGACACGGACCAGACUCCUACGGGAGGCAGCAGUGAGGAAUAUUGGUCAAUGGGCGCAAGCCUGAACCAGCCAUCCCGCGUGCAGGAAGACGGCCCUAUGGGUUGUAAACUGCUUUUCCAGGGAGAGAAACUUACGCACGUGUUGCGUGACUGACGGUACCUGGGAAUAAGCAUCGGCUAACUCCGUG